UACGUAGGGGGCAAGCGUUGUCCGGAUUCAUUGGGCGUAAAGAGCUCGUAGGCGGCUUGGCAAGUCGGGUGUGAAAACUUCAGGCUCAACCUGGAGCGGCCACUCGAUACUGCCAUGGCUUGAGUCCGGUAGGGGAGCGUGGAAUUCCUGGUGUAGCGGUGAAAUGCGCAGAUAUCAGGAGGAACACCAGCGGCGAAGGCGGCGCUCUGGGCCGGUACUGACGCUGAGGAGCGAAAGCGUGGGGAUCAAACAGG
rnacentral:rRNA from 1 species